rnacentral:tRNA from 1 species
GUUCUUUUAUUUUGAUUUUGUAAAUCAAAGAUUUUAAGGACU